rnacentral:rRNA from 1 species
CAGUCGCCGCGGGAAUACGUAGGGUGCGAGCGUUAAUCGGAAUUACUGGGCGUAAAGCGUGCGCAGGCGGUUUUGUAAGACAGGCGUGAAAUCCCCGGGCUCAACCUGGGAAUGGCGCUUGUGACUGCAAAGCUAGAGUGCGGCAGAGGGGGAUGGAAUUCCGCGUGUAGCAGUGAAAUGCGUAGAUAUGCGGAGGAACACCGAUGGCGAAUGCAAUCCCCUGGGCCUGCACUGACGCUCAUGCACGAAAGCGUGGGGAGCAAACAGGAUUAGAUACCCCAGUAGUCCCUGUCUCUUAUAC